GGUAUUUGAGGACAGAAUCUGCUACAGUGGAAAUGCAGACCCUUGCACUCGGUUCUUGAUGUAAAGAAACUGCUGUGAGAAGACUUACAGAAUGGCACUGAACUGAGUGGCCAGUGCCCACAGGAGUUAUUUGCAAAUACAGAAUGGGUUGCUGCAGGAAUCCUUCCCUUCCAAGACUACAUGAGUGAACAGGUCCUCUUAAUUUACAUACCUUU